GACGAACGCUGGCGGCGUGCUUAACACAUGCAAGUCGAACGGAAAGGCCCUGCUUUUGUGGGGUGCUCGAGUGGCGAACGGGUGAGUAACACGUGAGUAACCUGCCCUUGACUUUGGGAUAACUUCAGGAAACUGGGGCUAAUCCCGGAUAGGAGCUCCUGCUGCAUUGUGGGGGUUGGACAGUUUCGGCGGUUGGGGCUGGACUCGCGGCUCAUCAGCUUGUUGGUGGGGUAGGGGCUUACCAAGGCUUUGGCGGGUAGCCGGCCUGAGAGGGUGACCGGCCACAUUGGGACUGAGAUACGGCCCAGACUCCUACGGGAGGCAGCAGUGGGGAAUAUUGCACAAUGGGCGGAAGCCUGAUGCAGCAACGCCGCGUGCGGGAUGACGGCCUUCGGGUUGUAAACCGCUUUCGCCUGUGACGAAGCGUGAGUGACGGUAAUGGGUAAAGAAGCACCGGCUAACUACGUG
rnacentral:rRNA from 1 species